CUUCAUGAAGCCGGAAUUGCUAGUAAUGGCAGGUCAGCAUACUGCCGUGAAUACGUUCCCGGGCCUUGUACACACCGCCCGUCACACCAUGAGAGUUGGGAAUACCCGAAGCCUGUGAGCUAACUAAUAGAGGCAGCAGUCGAAGGUAGAAUCAAUGAUUGGGGUGAAGUCGUAACAAGGUAUC
rnacentral:rRNA from 1 species